UUCGACUUUGUGAUCAACUGAUGCAGC
rnacentral:sRNA from 1 species